AGAAUCAACGCUGGCGGCGUGCCUAACACAUGCAAGUCGCACGAGAAAGUGGAGCAAUCCAUGAGUACAGUGGCGCACGGGUGAGUAACACGUGAAUGAUCUACCUCCGAGUGGGGAAUAACUGAGAGAAAUCUUAGCUAAUACCGCAUAAUACCCACGGGUCAAAGCAGCAAUGCGCUUGGAGAGGAGUUCGCGGCCGAUUAGCUAGUUGGCGGGUAAUGGCCCACCAAGGCGAUGAUCGGUA
rnacentral:rRNA from 1 species